GACGAACCGUGCUAACGUUGUUCGGAAUCACUGGGCUUAAAGGGCGCGUAGGCGGGCCAGCAAGUCAGGGGUGAAAUCCCACGGCUCAACCGUGGAAGAGCCUUUGAUACUGCGGGCCUCGAGGGAGGUAGGGGCGUGCGGAACUUCCGGUGGAGCGGUGAAAUGCGUAGAUAUCGGAAGGAACAUCGGUGGCGAAAGCGGCGCGCUGGACCUCUUCUGACGCUGAGGCGCGAAAGCCAGGGGAGCAAACGGG
rnacentral:rRNA from 1 species